rnacentral:sRNA from 1 species
UGUAGUCCCAUGGGAUAUUUGUUGUCCCAUGGGACAAAAAAAAUCCCAUGGGACUGUAAUUAUCCCAUGGGAUUGUUAAUAUCCCAUGGGACAAAUUA